rnacentral:rRNA from 1 species
CGCCUCUUGCAAAAUUUACAAAUCAGAGGUCCCGCCUGCCCUGUGACUAUAUGUUUAACGGCCGCGGUAUUUUGACCGUGCAAAGGUAGCGCAAUCACUUGUCUUUUAAAUGGAGACCCGUAUGAAUGGCAUAACGAGGGCUUAACUGUCUCUUCUUUCAAGUCAAUGAAAUUGAUCUCCCCGUGCAGAAGCGGGGAUGCGCACAUAAGACGAGAAGACCCUGUGGAGCUUUAGGCACUAAAGCAGAAUAUGUAAAGUACCCCAAAUUAAAGACUAAAACAGCUUAUGACCUGCCCUAAUGCCUUCGGUUGGGGCGACCGCGGGGAAAUAAAAAACCCCCAUGUAGAACGGGAGCACUGCUCCUACAACUUAGAGCCCCCGCUCUAAUUAACAGAACCUCUGACUAAUAAGAUCCGGCAAUGCCGAUCAACGGACCAAGUUACCCCAGGGAUAACAGCGCAAUCCCCUUUUAGAGCCCAUAUCGACAAGGGGGUUUACGACCUCGAUGUUGGAUCAGGACAUCCUAAUGGUGCAGCCGCUAUUAAGGGUUCGUUUGUUCAACGAUUAAAGUCCU